UACAGAGGGGGCGAGCGUUGUUCGGAAUUACUGGGCGUAAAGGGCGCGUAGGCGGCCAACUAAGUCAGACGUGAAAUCCCCGGGCUUAACCUGGGAACUGCAUUUGUGACUGCACGGCUAGAGUUUGGCAGAGGGGGGUAGAAUUCCACGUGUAGCAGUGAAAUGCGUAGAGAUGUGGAGGAAUACCGAUGGCGAAGGCAGCCCCCUGGGUCAAGACUGACGCUCAUGCACGAAAGCGUGGGGAGCAAACAGG
rnacentral:rRNA from 1 species